UACGGGGGGAGCAAGCGUUGUUCGGAUUUAUUGGGCGUAAAGGGCGCGUAGGCGGCCACGCACGUCCGUUGUGAAAUCGCCCGGCUCAACUGGGCGGGGUCGGCGGAUACGGCGUGGCUGGAGCAAGCUAGGGGGCAAUGGAAUUCCCGGUGUAGUGGUGGAAUGCGUAGAUAUCGGGAGGAACACCAGUGGCGAAGGCGGUUGCCUGGAGCUUUGCUGACGCUGAGGCGCGAAAGCGUGGGGAGCGAUCCGG
rnacentral:rRNA from 1 species